UACGGAGGGUGCGAGCGUUAUCCGGAUUUACUGGGCGUAAAGGGCGCGUAGGCGGUCGUGACAAGUCACUUGUGAAAUCUCCGGGCUUAACUCGGAACGGUCAAGUGAUACUGUCGGACUAGAGUACAGAAGGGGCAACUGGAAUUCUCGGUGUAGCGGUGAAAUGCGUAGAUAUCGAGAGGAACACCUGCGGCGAAGGCGGGUUGCUGGGCUGAUACUGACGCUGAGGCGCGAAAGCCAGGGGAGCGAACGGG
rnacentral:rRNA from 1 species